rnacentral:rRNA from 1 species
UUGAACGCUGGCGGCAGGCCUAACACAUGCAAGUCGAGCGGAUGAAGGGAGCUUGCUCCUGGAUUCAGCGGCGGACGGGUGAGUAAUGCCUAGGAAUCUGCCUGGUAGUGGGGGAUAACGUCCGGAAACGGGCGCUAAUACCGCAUACGUCCUGAGGGAGAAAGUGGGGGGUCUUCGGACCUCACGCUAUCAGAUGAGCCUAGGUCGGAUUAGCUAGUUGGUGGGGUAAAGGCCUACCAAGGCGACGAUCCGUAACUGGUCUGAGAGGAUGAUCAGUCACACUGGAACUGAGACACGGUCCAGACUCCUACGGGAGGCAGCAGUGGGGAAUAUUGGACAAUGGGCGAAAGCCUGAUCCAGCCAUGCCGCGUGUGUGAAGAAGGUCUUCGGAUUGUAAAGCACUUUAAGUUGGGAGGAAGGGCAGUAAGUUAAUACCUUGCUGUUUUGACGUUACCAACAGAAUAAGCACCGGCUAACUUCGUG